CCCUUAGAUGUUCUGGGCCGCACGCGCGCUACACUGACGAAUGCAACGAGCUUAUAACCUUGGCCGAAAGGUCUGGGUAAUCUCCAAAUUUCGUCGUGAUGGGGAUAGAUUAUUGCAAUUAUUAAUCUUCAACGAGGAAUGCCUAGUAAGCGCAAGUCAUCAGCUUGCGUUGAUUACGUCCCUGCCCUUUUUACACACCGCCCGUCGCUCCUACCGAUUGAAUGGUCCGGUGAAGCGUUCGGACCGUGGCCUUUGGACGGUUCGCCGUCUGUUGGCUGCGGGAAGUUCGUUAAACCUUAUCAUUUAGAGGAAGGAGAANUCGUAACA
rnacentral:rRNA from 1 species